AUUCAACUGACGAGUCCCAAACAAGACGAAACGCGCGUGCUGGAU
rnacentral:hammerhead_ribozyme from 1 species